rnacentral:rRNA from 1 species
UACAGAGGGGGGCAAGCGUUGUUCGGAAUUACUGGGCGUAAAGGGCGCGUAGGCGGCCUUCUAAGUCGAACGUGAAAUCCCUCGGCUCAACCGAGGAACUGCAUCCGAUACUGGCGGGCUUGAAUCCGGGAGAGGGAUGUGGAAUUCCAGGUGUAGCGGUGAAAUGCGUAGAUAUCAGGAGGAACACCGAUGGCGAAGGCAGUUCUCUGGGCCGUAACUGACGCUGAGGAGCGAAAGCGUGGGUAGCAAACAGG